rnacentral:rRNA from 1 species
UACGUAGGGUGCAAGCGUUGUCCGGAAUUAUUGGGCGUAAAGAGCUCGUAGGCGGUCUGUCGCGUCUGCUGUAAAAACUCGGGGCUUAACCCCGGGCCUGCAGUGGGUACGGGCAGACUAGAGUGCGGUAGGGGAGACUGGAAUUCCUGGUGUAGCGGUGAAAUGCGCAGAUAUCAGGAGGACACCGGUGACGAAGGCGGGUCUCUGGGCCGUAACUGACGCUGAGGAGCGAAAGCAUGGGGAGCGAACAGG